ACAGUUUAAAUUCUUGCGCUUAGAGGAAGGUGUCAGAACAAAAAAGAAAGGCAAGAGGUGUGAGGGGAGGUAUAGUAACUAGGCUUCUGUGAAAAGGAAAAAAAGGAUAAGAUGGUUGAAGGCAGUUGUGAAAAGAAUGACGCUGAAAGAAAUGAAGCUUUGCUAUGAUGGAGGUCGUAUAUGUGCUUCCUUUUCAACUGGUGGAAUUACUGGCUGUGGCAGUAAAAGCUGUUGUGUGAUAUCUAAGGGAGUAUAUUAAGAAGACCUUACUUCCAACCGCAGGACAGUGGAAACAAUAUUGGAGGGACAAGCUCAGAGUGUUGCGGUCCCCUGUUACUUUUGGAGGAGUGAAAAACUGUGUGAGGAUGUUGCAUACCUAGACACAAUAGCUACUACAGAAACAACCAUGGUCUAAGAUUACAUGAAAGACCACUGCAGGCAUUAAGCCAUGUGGCAUCGGACAAGCAUCAUUCAGGAAGCCUGCUCCAAGGCCGUUCUUGAGAAACAAAGUAGUAGGAAAACUGCAGCAUCAGAUUCAUCCCUCCAUGCACCUCUUGUGUGCUGGCGAUGUUGAAUGGUACAGAAAGAAGUCUGCAGCUGAUGAUGU